rnacentral:lncRNA from 1 species
UGUCUCAGUUUGGAAGACACGCAUCCUUUGGCUUCUUACACAUUAUAAAGUAUUUCUUACCAAAAUAGAAGAAAGUUCCGGGUUUCAAGGAUUCCGGCUAACGGAGAAGGCUGCUGUUCCUACCAGAAAUCAGUUUCAAAUGCGAAUUGAUCCUGUAACACUUGGACCUCAUUUUCCAGUUACCCUGCAAUGGAUCUUGUUGUAGCUUAUCUGCAUGAUCGAGCUUUACGACGUGAACGAAGGUAUCUGGACCCUUUGGAUCCCAUAAAUAUAAGCGAUGAAAAUCUAAUUAGAUAUAGGUUUCCUCGAUGUGAAAUUCUAAGACUGUGUGAAGAUUUAGAUCCAUUUUUAAGGCGUAGAACGAGAAGAUCUCAUGCUGUUCCCAUACACACGCAAGUGCUAGUUGCCUUAAGAUUUUACGCCAAUGGAACCUUUCAACAUGUACUUGGUGAUACAGCUGAAGCUGUAGCAGGGACAGGCCAAGCAGUCCGAGCCAAUGUAGACCGUAAUUGGUUUACUUGAUGAAUUAAAAUCAAAUAUCAAUUCACCAAUAAAAUUUUCCUCUAUGUUUAAAUAGUAUUUUUUAGUGCAGUAUACAGAGGUAAUGCGAACAAAG